GGAGGGAUCAUUACAGGGUCUGACGACUGCCCAAACCAAACCGUGAACCGUUUCCAAAACACACGAAUGCCUUGGCGGGCCGCUCGCUGGGGGAGCCGUGGGCCGCGCAGGGAGUAAUCCCUCGCGGUGGCUCGCCGAAGGCAUUGCAACUAAAUUCUUUAUAAAACUUUCUGAGUGUUUGAUUUUCCUUGCGGAAAUAAAAUCAUCACAACUCAUAACAAUGGAUCUCUUGGCUCUGGCAUCGAUGAAGAACGCAGCGAAAUGCGAUAAGUAGUAUGAAUUGCAGAAUUCAGCGAAUCAUCGAAUUUUUGAACGCACAUUGCGCCCUCUGGUAUUCCGGAGGGCAUGUCCGACCGAGCGUCGCGUCACCGCUCAAGCUUUAAUUGCUUGGUGUUGGGGAACUGAAGGAUCUCUUUCUAGAGUGCUCGCAGCCCCCGAAAUGCAGUGGCGGCCCUCAGUGCGGCUCCCCCUUAGCGCAGUAGAGUAUCCACUACGCUUCGGGACGCCUGGGUGGCUCGCCGUAAAACGGGACCCUUUACGGCCCAAACCUCUAG
rnacentral:misc_RNA from 1 species